rnacentral:tRNA from 1 species
CGGGAUGUAGCUCAGCCUGGUAGAGUGCUGCGUUCGGGACGCAGAAGUCGCUGGUUCGAACCCAGUCAUCCCGACCA